UACAGAGGGUGCGAGCGUUAAUCGGAAUUACUGGGCGUAAAGCGUGCGUAGACGGUUAUUUAAGUCAGAUGUGAAAGCCCCGGGCUCAACCUGGGAAUUGCAUUUGAGACUGAAUAGCUAGGGUGCGGUAGAGGGAAGCGGAAUAUGUCAUGUGGCGGUGAAAUGCUUAGAUAUGACAUAGAACACCAAUUGCGAAGGCAGCUUACUACACAGUGAUUGACACUGAGGCACGAAAGCGUGGGGAUCAAACAGG
rnacentral:rRNA from 1 species